GUGGCUCAGUGAGUAGGGCGCCGGCCCCAUAUGCCGGAGGUGGUGGUUCAAACCCAGCC
rnacentral:tRNA from 1 species